GAACGGUUAGCUGAGUUGGUAAGAGCGCUCGGACGUAAACCGAGAGGUCGCAGGUUCAAUUCCCGCAUCGUUCA